rnacentral:rRNA from 1 species
GACGAACGCUGGCGGCGUGCUUAACACAUGCAAGUCGAACGGUGAUGCUCCAGCUUGCUGGAGUGGAUCAGUGGCGAACGGGUGAGUAACACGUGAGCAACCUGCCCCAGACUCUGGAAUAAGCGCUGGAAACGGCGUCUAAUACUGGAUACGAAACUGGCCCGCAUGGGCAUGGUUUGGAAAGUUUUUCGGUUUGGGAUGGGCUCGCGGCCUAUCAGCUUGUUGGUGAGGUAAUGGCUCACCAAGGCGACGACGGGUAGCCGGCCUGAGAGGGCGACCGGCCACACUGGGACUGAGACACGGCCCAGACUCCUACGGGAGGCAGCAGUGGGGAAUAUUGCACAAUGGGCGAAAGCCUGAUGCAGCGACGCCGCGUGAGGGAUGACGGCCUUCGGGUUGUAAACCUCUUUUAGCAGGGAAGAAGCGAAAGUGACGGUACCUGCAGAAGAAGCACCGGCUAACUACGUG